GACCCCUUAGCUCAGUGGUAGAGUAUGAGAUUCCAGCCACACAUCCGCCUUUACCUUCAUCAGUACAUGCGGUCGUUCGCCUAGGUUCCUCAGGGUCAUCCGUUCAAUCCGGGUAGGGGUCA